rnacentral:tRNA from 1 species
GGGGGUGUAUCUCAGCAUUAGAGAAUUUAUUUAGCAUGUGGAAGGUUCUGGGUUCGAUCCCCUGCACUGCCA